UGGGGAAUCUUGGACAAUGGGGGCAACCCUGAUCCAGCAAUGCCGCGUGGGUGAAGAAGGCCUUCGGGUUGUAAAGCCCUUUCGGCGGGGAAGAAAUCGGCCGGGCGAAUAGUCCGGUCGGAUGACGGUACCCGCAGAAGAAGCACCGGCUAACUACGUGCCAGCAGCCGCGGUAAUACGUAGGGUGCGAGCGUUAAUCGGAAUUACUGGGCGUAAAGGGUGCGCAGGCGGUUCUGUAAGACCGGUGUGAAAUCCCCGGGCUCAACCUGGGAAUUGCGCUGGUGACUGCAGGGCUAGAGUACGGUAGAGGGGGGUGGAAUUCCUGGUGUAGCAGUGAAAUGCGUAGAGAUCAGGAGGAACACCGAUGGCGAAGGCAGCCCCCUGGGCCUGUACUGACGCUCAUGCACGAAAGCGUGGGGAGCAAACAGG
rnacentral:rRNA from 1 species